AUGGAGAAGGUGUGGGACUCGGGGCGGUGGGCAGCCAUCGAGCGGCUCCCCACCUACAGCCGCAUGAGGACGUCCAUACUCCAGGCCGAGGCGGCCGAGGCGACCGCCGCCUCGCCAACUAAUGGGGCGGCAGAAGGCAAGAAGCAGUACAAUAGUGCAGGCCAGUGUCAGACACCUCCGACUCUAACCAUGAACCCAGUUUGCUGCACUGCAAAUGCACCACACGACACGAACAUGCAUGCUCUGGUCCCCAACAGCCAACCAGACACGGACACAUAUCAAUCACCAGAUGAGAUGAUGAAUCUAGGGAAAAAAAUUAAGUUAGUGCAGUUUAGACAGAAAGAGGAGUUCGCGAGUUUGAAUCACUUCACAUGCGACUUUGCUGCAGGGGAGCAGAAAGGGAGAAAACCGGGAAAAUGUGUCGGCCCAGCACGGUGGGGGGUUGUCCCCGUUUGCGAGAACCGAAGAAACAGGCGCUUAAGGCGUUGUAUAGGAAAUGCCCACGCAACAAUGAUUAUCCCAGUCGAUAUCAUCAGUCAUCGCUCUCGACGUCAACCACAUUGGAGCCUCCUACAUUCUUCUUCUUUCCCUGUGAGGACGAAGGCCCUGCCUCGUCGUCUUUCUUGGGCAGCCAAAAAAAAUGGCUGUUGUUGGAGAUGCUCUCUAAGAAUGUGCAUCACACAUUGGCGCGUUGCAUUACGGUUCCCAUUUAGAAGAAUGGGCUUGGAUUGGACACGUAUGGGAUCCAUGCUGACAGUGGCUAAGCCAGGCCUCAAGCAGGCCGGGCUGCCGCCUGGGGUGUGGCCUUGA
rnacentral:rRNA from 1 species